UACGUAGGUGGCGAGCGUUGUCCGGAUUUACUGGGCGUAAAGAGCGCGCAGGCGGUCGUGCAAGUCGCGUGUGAAAGCCCCCGGCUCAACUGGGGAGGGUCACGCGAUACUGCUCGACUCGAAGGCAGGAGAGGGGAAGUGGAAUUCCCGGUGUAGUGGUGAAAUGCGUAGAUAUCUGGAGGAACACCGGUGGCGAAGGCGGCAUCCUGGACCGGUAUUGACGCUGAGGCGCGAAAGCUAGGGGAGCAAACGGGG
rnacentral:rRNA from 1 species